GACGAACGCUGGCGGCGUGCUUAACACACGCAAGUCGAACGGAAAGGCCCUGCUUUUGUGGCGUGCUCGAGUGGCGAACGGGUGAGUAACACGUGAGUAACCUGCCCUUGACUUUGGGAUAACUUCAGGAAACUGGGGCUAAUAUCGGAUAGGAUCUCCUGCUGCAUGGUGGGGGUUGGAAAGAUUCGGCGGUUGGGGAUGGACUCGCGGCUUAUCCGCUUGUUGGUCGGGUAGUGGCUUACCAAGGCUUUGACGGGUAGCCGGCCUGGGAGGGUGACCGGCCACAAUAGGCCUGCGAGAGGCAGCAGAAGGCUACCGGACGCAGUAGUCGGGAGUAUUGCGGAGUGAGCGGAAGUCUGAGACGGCAACGCCGGGUGCGGGAUACCCGCCUUCGAGUUAUAAACAGAUGUGGAAGGUGACGAGGAGGGAGUGACGGUACUUGGUCAGAAAGCAACGGCUAACUACGUG
rnacentral:rRNA from 1 species